AUGAAUUUAAUGUGGAGUUGGUUGUAGCUGGUCCAUUUGGAUUUUUUAAAUAAUUUCCUUUGGACAUGUGCACACCUUCUCUUUCAUCCACACACACCUGUGAACUUGUGAGGCAGAUUUGCUCUUUGGGGACUUUAACUAGAAACCAAUUAGCUGCUGUCUACUUAAUUUACACACACUCUAUUUAUUUUAAAAUGAAUGUAAUUGAUGUAACGCAUCUAAUACU
rnacentral:misc_RNA from 1 species